rnacentral:rRNA from 1 species
GCUGGCGGCAGGCUUAACACAUGCAAGUCGAGCGGGCCCUUCGGGGUCAGCGGCGGACGGGUGAGUAACGCGUGGGAACGUGCCUUCCGGUUCGGGAUAACCCUGGGAAACUAGGGCUAAUACCGGAUACGCCCUUAUGGGGAAAGGUUUACUGCCGGAAGAUCGGCCCGCGUCUGAUUAGCUAGUUGGUGGGGUAACGGCCUACCAAGGCGACGAUCAGUAGCUGGUCUGAGAGGAUGAUCAGCCACACUGGGACUGAGACACGGCCCAGACUCCUACGGGAGGCAGCAGUGGGGAAUAUUGGACAAUGGGCGCAAGCCUGAUCCAGCCAUGCCGCGUGAGUGAUGAAGGCCUUAGGGUUGUAAAGCUCUUUUAUCCGGGACGAUAAUGACGGUACCGGAGGAAUAAGCCCCGGCUAACUUCGUGCCAGCAGCCGCGGUAAUACGAAGGGGGCUAGCGCUGCUCGGAAUCACUGGGCGUAAAGGGCGCGUAGGCGGCGUUUUAAGUCGGGGGUGAAAGCCUGUGGCUCAACCACAGAAUGGCCUUCGAUACUGGGACGCUUGAGUAUGGUAGAGGUUGGUGGAACUGCGAGUGUAGAGGUGAAAUUCGUAGAUAUUCGCAAGAACACCGGUGGCG